rnacentral:rRNA from 1 species
GAAUAUUGCGCAAUGGACGAAAGUCAGCCGCAGCCAUGCCGCGUGCAGGAAGAAUGCCCUACGGGUUGUAAACUGCUUUUGUACGGGGAGAAACCCCUCUACGUGUAGAGGUCUGACGGUACCGUACGAAUAAGCACCGGCUCACUCCGUGCCAGCAGCCGCGGUAAUACGGAGGGUGCAAGCGUUAUCCGGAUUCAUUGGGUUUAAAGGGUGCGUAGGCGGAAUAAUAAGUCAGUGGUGAAAUCCCAUAGCUCAACUAUGGAACUGCCAUUGAUACUGUUAUUCUCGAGUAUAGUUGAAGUGGACGGAAUGUAACAUGUAGCGGUGAAAUGCUUAGAUAUGUUACAGAACACCAAUCGCGAAGGCAGUUCACUAAGCUAUUACUGACGCUGAGGCACGAAAGCGUGGGGAGCGAACAGG